AUAAUCAACAUGUGCUGUGAUACUCAGAAAAACCUCCGAUAUCAGAAACUAAGAUCGCAGUUGAACGAUCUUGGCUAUCUUCACCACUAAGCAAAGAUUCGUUGCUGUUAGUGGAGCAUUUACUAGCUGACUACCUUCACACAUCACAAAAAUUGAAGUACUACAAGGAGACUGCCCAUAAUAGUAUUCAGGCAUGUCGUAAUUUAGAAAUAAGUGUUGAACCCUACAAAAGUGACAAUGCAAAACUUGUUACACAUUGAACUGCUUACAUAAUCAAAUUUUAGAAGAAAAACCCAUUUCGAAGAAAGAAUUCAUGGUUUGAAGUUACAAGUGAAAAAAGUAGAAGCUGAAAGAUCUGACCUUGAGGACCUAGUGAGUCUGCAAACAACUCGUAUUCAGGCGCUGGAACAUGAGUCUCAACUGAAAAAUGAGAGAUUACUGCAGCUUCAAGGCCUUGAUUUAAAACCUAUUAUCACUACCGCUGUUGGUAGUAAAAAGCGGUCAGCCCCUCUUGCAAAAAAGAAGAGUUUUACACGUUUGGAGAUAGACCCUGGUGUUGAAAGCAUCAAGGAUUGGCAAACAUACUACUCGGAAAUCAACCGACUGAAUGAAGAUCCAGUAGUAGUCGAUCUUGUAAUAUUGACAGAGAAGCGUAUCGAGAGCUUGCAGAAAACAAUAAAUGAUGUUGAAGCAGAAAAGCAGUACCUGCAAGAAGAAUUAGAACUAUGUGCCACAAAGAUCUCUGAUCGAGAUGUUGAGAUUGACCGAUUGCAGAAACUUUUAGGCAGUGGUCGCCCUGCCGAAGCUGUGAAUCGUGAGUUUUACACAGAGGGCACGUUAGAGGGUGCUAGCGAUAUGAACCCAAACAUGGACAACUGCAGUAAUAGCACUGUAAAUAGCAAAACUCUUUUCCUGCAGCAACGACUGGAAGAAGCAAUAGAAAAACAACAUGAAGCUAUGUGCACCGCUGUGCGAUUAGCUGACCACAAUCGCCUUUUAGAAGCUCAGUUGAAGUGCGCAGUCGAGUCCAGAUGUCACUGCAGUACCCCUCCUGAAGACGGAACAAGUGAAUGCCGUAAAACAGAUGCCACUGAGAAGACGGAGCAUGUGCAGCAAAACUUUUUACAAUGCAUGACUGAAUUGAAUCGGCGAGUCGAUGAAUUGAUGGCUGAUAAUGACAGUUUAAGGAAAUGUGCAGAAAAAAGUGCAGAGGAGAGGAAAAAACUGACAAACAAAGUGAAUGAACUAACAGCUAUUGGUAAGUCUUGUUUCAGUAUCAUUCAUCUUUUGUUUUAGAUCGAUAAUGACGUUAAAUUUUACUAUGGUUAGGUAUGUUAGAAGGGAUUUAAUAUAGUGAGAUUUGUUUUAGUACGGAUUAACAUUGAUUGGUCCUACUUCAUCCUAAUUUCCCAAGACAUCAGUAGCAUGCAACCACCAAGGAAGGAAAGGAAACAAAGAAAAAAAAAUUAACAAUCGAAAAAAAGUUCAAGUGAAACAAAAGAUAUUGUUGAUUUGAAGUAACUAUGUCUUAACCAACGCCAGUUGUUUUGGCGUUCUUCACAAUGUUUGGAAUGAGGGUCUAGCAUCAACUAAUCUCAAGAUCCAGACCAAAUUUGUAUUUUUCAGUUAGAAAUAAGUUUUUUGAAAACAUUCUAUGUUUGUCCAAAAACAUCCAUUAUACAGUUUUUUAAUGUGGAAACUCAAUAAUUAUUAAGUACCAAUAGAAGGAGAAUAUUGAUAACUUAAGUCGAAAAAUUGAUGCCAUUAUUAGUUGACUUCUUAGAAAAACCUCUAACAAAAUUAGAGCACAAGUUUUGAAACUCAACAAAUGAUUUUGGGUGAAAAUCCUGUCUAUGUGUUUUGGAACUGAAAAUGUGUUCCGACAUAAGAAGUUGUAAUUUUAAGUGGCACUGACGUACACAAGAUUUUCUGACAUUGUUCCUAAGGACAUGAAAAUGGGACCAGACUAAAAUUACGGUAUGAACGGACUUUCAAUGUCAAUAUAUUCCAAUUCAGUGGGUAUUUUACCGUACUAUAUCAUCCCUUAUCAAAACUGACUUCAAUGGAGUUUAAAUAUCCCUUUCUCAGAAAAAAUGAUUUUUUUAAGUUGAAAAAAAUGCAUCUGCUAUGUGUCAUCACAAAUUUAAUCCCAACUCUCUUUGAAAUUAGAAAAUGCA
rnacentral:lncRNA from 1 species